UUUGAUGUGAUGGGUCACAUAUUAGUGUAUAUUAUAUACAGUAUAUAUUAAAUUAUUUAUAGUAUAUAUUAUUGUGGGCUAUAAAAGCUCUGACUUUAAGCUUGAUAGAUUAAAAAUGUAAUCAGUUAGUUAAUUUGCUUGUUUUUGCUCACAGUGCAAAAAUAGUAGACUUUGAUUUUCUAUUACUUUCCUUUUCUUUAAUUUUAUUGAUUAAAAAUAUAGAUACCACGUUUUUUAUAUAGAACACUGAACAUAAAAAGCUGAGCCACAAAAAUAUUAGCAUUGAUUAAUUAUUGCUAUGAACUGCAAGACAACUGCUGUCCCAUUUUGUGUCCUAUGAAGAUUUAUUUUCUUCUAUAAUUAGAAGGAAAACAAAUAUUUUAUUUAACUUUCAGAGUAUUAAAAUCUAAAAUCUUUGCAAAUCAAACCAAAAUUGUCAGCAUUUGGUUUGACAGAAAUAGUUUUUCAGAGUGGGUGAGCUGAACCUAUACACAUGGCUUUUAUUUUCAGUUUGUCACAUAAACGAACCAUUAAAAUUCAGUGGAAAGACAUAAAACAUAGGAAAGACCAAUUUAGUGUGUUCACACACACACACACACACACACACACACACACACACACACA